GACGUAGGGGGCGAGCGUUGUCCGGAGUCACUGGGCGUAAAGAGCUCGUAGGCGGUGUGUCACGUCGGCCGUGAAAACCUGCAGCUUAACUGUGGGCGUGCGGUCGAUACGGGCAUCACUGGAGUUCGGCAGGGGAGACUGGAAUUCCUGGUGUAGCGGUGAAAUGCGCAGAUAUCAGGAGGAACACCGGUGGCGAAGGCGGGUCUCUGGGCCGAUACUGACGCUGAGGAGCGAAAGCGUGGGGAGCAAACAGG
rnacentral:rRNA from 1 species